CGUAUAUUAACGUUGUUGCAGUUAAAAAGCUCGUAGUUGGAUUUGUGGUUCGUUGCAUGGUCCCAGCCAAUUGUUGGGUGCCGUUGCGAGGAGCAUCCUUGGGUGGAAUCUGUGUGGCAUUAGGUUGUCGCGCAGGGGAUGCCCAUCGUUUACUGUGAAAAAAUUAGAGUGUUCAAAGCAGGCUUAUGCCGUUGAAUAUAUUAGCAUGGAAUAAUGAGAUAGGACCUUGGUACUAUUUUGUUGGUUUGCGCACCGAGGUAAUGAUUAAUAGGGACAGUUGGGGG
rnacentral:rRNA from 1 species